AUGAACGCUGGCGGCGUGCCUAAUACAUGCAAGUCGAGCGCACAGACGAGGAGCUUGCUCCUCUGACGUUCGCGGCGGACGGGUGAGUAACACGUGGAUAACCUACCUAUAAGACUGGGAUAACUUCGGGAAACCGGAGCUAAUACCGGAUAAUAUAUUGAACCGCAUGGUUCAAUAGUGAAAGACGGUUUUGCUGUCACUUAUAGAUGGAUCCGCGCCGCAUUAGCUAGUUGGUAAGGUAACGGCUUACCAAGGCAACGAUGCGUAGCCGACCUGAGAGGGUGAUCGGCCACACUGGAACUGAGACACGGUCCAGACUCCUACGGGAGGCAGCAGUAGGGAAUCUUCCGCAAUGGGCGAAAGCCUGACGGAGCAACGCCGCGUGAGUGAUGAAGGUCUUCGGAUCGUAAAACUCUGUUAUUAGGGAAGAACAAAUGUGUAAGUAACUAUGCACGUCUUGACGGUACCUAAUCAGAAAGCCACGGCUAACUACGUG
rnacentral:rRNA from 1 species